rnacentral:pre_miRNA from 1 species
ACAACAUUUGGACCGUCAAUCUACCGAGCAAAUAUCACCCGCUCGGUGGAAGAUCUUCCCUUUGUCCU